rnacentral:rRNA from 1 species
GACGAACGCUGGCGGCGUGCUUAACACAUGCAAGUCGAACGAAGUGGCGAACGGGUGCGUAACGCGUAAUCAACCUGCCCUUCAGAGGGGGACAACAGUUGGAAACGACUGCUAAUACCGCAUACUGAAGGAGGGGAUUGCGUCUGAUGAGCUAGUUGGAGUGGUAACGGCCCACCAAGGCGAUGAUCAGUAGCCUGUCUUAGAGGAUGAACGGCCACAGUGGGACUGAGACAAGGCACAGAAUUCGACGGGAGGCAGCAGGGGGGAAUCUUCCGAAAUGGAAGAAAGUCUGACGGAGCAACGCCGGGUGAGUGAUGACGGCGUUCGGGUUGUAAAGCUCGGUUAAUCGGGACGCGGUACCGAAAUAGAAAGCCACGGCUAACUACGUGCCAGCAGCCGCGGUAAUAC